AUCUACGGCCAUACCACCCUGAAUGCGCCCGAUCUCGUCUGAUCUCGGAAGCUAAGCAGGGUCGGGCCUGGUUAGUACUUGGAUAGGAUCCUCAGUAGUCAUCCUGUUUCUAAGUC
rnacentral:rRNA from 1 species